rnacentral:rRNA from 1 species
GUGGGGAAUAUUCCGCAAUGGACGAAAGUCUGACGGAGCAACGCCGCGUGAGUGAUGAAGGUUUUCGGACUGUAAAGCUCUGUUGUUUAGGACGAAAGUGCCUGUUGCAAACAGUUACAGGUAUUGACGGUACUAAACGAGGAAGCCACGGCUAACUACGUGCCAGCAGCCGCGGUAAUACGUAGGUGGCAAGCGUUGUCCGGAAUUAUUGGGCGUAAAGAGCAUGUAGGCGGGAAUCUAAGUCUGUUGUGAAAAUGCGGGGCUCAACCCCGUAUUGCGAUGGAAACUGGGUUUCUUGAGUGCAGGAGAGGAAAGGGGGAUUCCCAGUGUAGCGGUGAAAUGCGUAGAUAUUGGGAGGAACACCAGUGGCGAAGGCGCCUUUCUGGACUGUGUCUGACGCUGAGAUGCGAAAGCCAGGGUAGCGAACGGGAUUAGAAACCCUUGUAGUCC